rnacentral:ncRNA from 1 species
AUGCUUAUGAAAAGAGAGAAGGUUAGCACUCCCCCUGAGAAGGAAAGAAGAGGUCCUAGUGGCCUUUACAACACAUAUAUGGUUAAGGCAUUGCCACCUGCUUUGUGGCAUCUAACCAAGUUUUUAG